CAGUAGCCGCGGGAAUACGUAGGGUGCGAGCGUUAAUCGGAAUUACUGGGCGUAAAGCGGGCGCAGACGGUUACUUAAACAGGAUGUGAAAUCCCCGGGCUCAACCUGGGAACUGCGUUCUGAACUGGGUGACUAGAAUGUGUCAGAGGGAGGUAGAAUUCCACGUGUAGCAGUGAAAUGCGUAGAGAUGUGGAGGAAUACCGGUGGCGAAGGCAGCCUCCUGGGAUAACACAGACGUUCAUGCCCGAAAGCGUGGGUAGCAAACAGGAUUAGAUACCCCCGUAGUCCCUGUCUCUUAUAC
rnacentral:rRNA from 1 species